rnacentral:rRNA from 1 species
AACGAACGCUGGCGGCAGGCUUAACACAUGCAAGUCGAACGCCCCGCAAGGGGAGUGGCAGACGGGUGAGUAACGCGUGGGAAUCUACCCAUCUCUACGGAACAACUCCGGGAAACUGGAGCUAAUACCGUAUACGCCCUACGGGGGAAAGAUUUAUCGGGGAUGGAUGAGCCCGCGUUGGAUUAGCUAGUUGGUGGGGUAAAGGCCUACCAAGGCGACGAUCCAUAGCUGGUCUGAGAGGAUGAUCAGCCACAUUGGGACUGAGACACGGCCCAAACUCCUACGGGAGGCAGCAGUGGGGAAUAUUGGACAAUGGGCGCAAGCCUGAUCCAGCCAUGCCGCGUGAGUGAUGAAGGUCUUAGGAUUGUAAAGCUCUUUCACCGAUGAAGAUAAUGACGGUAGUCGGAGAAGAAGCCCCGGCUAACUUCGUGCCAGCAGCCGCAGUAA